GUUGGAUCCGAAGCAGCUCUCCCUCCUCUUCCUCCUCCUUUGGAUGGGCUCUGUCCACCUGGAAUCCCCUCAGGAUAUUUCCUCAGGUAGUCACCUUCUCUCCCCUCCGGAUGUCCUGGUCACCAAGUUGCGGUUGGAAAGAAGUCGAUCUGCAUUUGAGCACGCACCGUCACCGAAGUUUUCCUAGAACAAAACAGGUAGUCAGUUUCUCUCCCCUCUGGAUGUCCUGGUCACCAAGCCGCGGUAGAGAACUUGAUCUCCGUAGGAGCACACACCCCUCAGCGAAGUCUUCCUAGAACAG